ensembl:lncRNA
GUGAGGUAGUGUUAGAGUGAGGCAGUGGUAGAGUGGUAUAGUGAGGUAGUGGUAUAGUGUGGUAGUGGUAGAGUGAGGUAGUGGUAUAGAGUGGUAGUGGUAGAGUGAGGUAGUGGUAGAGUGAGGUAGUGGUAUAGUGAGGUAGUGGUGAAUGAGGCAGUGGUAGAGUGAGGCAGUGGUAGAGUGAGGCAGUGGUAGAAUGAGGUAGUGGUAGAGUGAGGUAAUGGUAGAGUGAGGUAGUGGUAGAGUGGUAUAGUGUGGUAGUGGUAGAGUGAGGCAGUGGUAGAGUGAGGCAGUGGUAUAGUGAGGCAGUGGUAGAGUGAGGUAGUGGUAGAGUGAGGUAGUGGGUCAGUUUGUUAUAUCUGGAGUACUUCUCCUGUCCUAUCCGGUGUCCUGUGUGAAUUUAAGUGUGCUCUCUAAUUCUCUCUUUCUCUCUUUCUUUCUCUCCCUCGGAGGACCUGAGUCCUAGGACCAUGCCUCAGGACUACCUGAAAUGAUGAUUCCUUGCUGUCCCCAGUCCACCUGGCCGUGCUGCUGCUCCAGUUCCAACUGUUCUGCCUGUGAUUAUUAUUAUUUGACCAUGCUGGUCAUUUAUGAACAUUUGAACAUCUUGGCCAUGUUCUGUUAUAAUCUCCACCCGGCACAGCCAGAAGAGGACUGGCCACCCCACAUAGCCUGGUUCCUCUCUAGGUUUCUUCCUAGGUUUUGGCCUUUCUAGGGAGUUUUUCCUAGCCACCGUGCUUCUACACCUGCAUUGCUUGCUGUUUGGGGUUUUAGGCUGGGUUUCUGUACAGCACUUUGAGAUAUCAGCUGAUGUACGAAGGGCUAUAUAAAUGGCUAUAUAAAUACAUUUGAUUUGAUUUGGUAGAGUGGUAUAGUGUGGUAGUGG